rnacentral:rRNA from 1 species
GGAGAUACUGUGCAGCUAGGGAGUGGGAGAGGUAGACGGUACUCGGUAGGAAGGGGUAAAAUCCUUUGAUCUAUUGAUGACCACCUGUGGCGAAGGCGGUCUACUAGAACACGUCCGACGGUGAGGGAUGAAAGCUGGGGGAGCAAACCGGAUUAGAUACCCGGGUAGUCCCAGCUGUAAACAAUGCAAACUCAGUGAUGCAUUGGCUUGUGGCCAGUGCAGUGCCGCAGGGAAGCCGUUAAGUUUGCCGCCUGGGAAGUACGUACGCAAGUAUGAAACUUAAAGGAAUUGGCGGGGGAGCACCACAAGGGGUGAAGCCUGCGGUUCAAUUGGAGUCAACGCCAGAAAUCUUACCCGGAGAGACAGCAGAAUGAAGGUCAAGCUGAAGACUCUACCAGACAAGCUGAGAGGUGGUGCAUGGCCGUCGCCAGCUCGUGCCGUGAGAUGUCCUGUUAAGUCAGGUAACGAGCGAGAUCCCUGCCUCUAGUUGCCACCAUUACUCUCAGGAGUAGUGGGGCGAAUUAGCGGGACCGCCGCAGUUAAUGCGGAGGAAGGAAGGGGCCACGGCAGGUCAGUAUGCCCCGAAACUCUGGGGCCACACGCGGGCUGCAAUGGUAAUUACAAUGGGUUCCAAAUCCGAAAGGAGAAGGUAAUCCUCAAAUGUUACCACAAUUAUGACUGAGGGCUGCAACUCGCCCUCACGAAUAUGGAAUCCCUAGUAACCGCGUGUCAUUACCGCGCGGUGAAUACGUCCCUGCUCCUUGCACACACCGCCCGU